rnacentral:rRNA from 1 species
AUGACCCGGGUGCUUGCCGGCUCUGCCCGCCAACCCAGCGACCCGACGCUUGGCCGGUUCCGCCUGCAUCCCGGCUGGCCGGCUCCGCCUGCCAACCCGACGACCCGGCGCUUGGCCGGCUCCGCCUCGCCUGCCGACUCCACCGCGCUCGGCCUCCCCGCCGCCUUCCCCGCGUGCCGGCUCCCCGCCUGGGCCGCCUCGCCUCGCAUCCGGCUACCGUGGCAGCCUCGCCCUGCGCUCCUCUGUCAGCAGGAGAAGAGGAAAAGAUCAGAAAAUAAAAAAGAAGUGCUGCCGUCUAAAAAAAGGAAAAAAGACGUAUGUCCGGCUGCUCCAGCCGCGACCUACCCACGUCACCGUUCGUCCGCCCAGUGCGCCUGCCGGCUUCGAUGCCUGGCCGGCUGGGGGCCGACCCGUUCGCUCGUCUGCCUCGACGCCGGCUGCGCCAAGCCGGCCCAGACGUCAGUCCGCCUCGACGCCCGUUCGGUUGGACCUGACCGGCCGGGACCCCCUUCGAGCACCCGAAAGUUCGAAGGCUACCUCAAGUGGGCGGGACGUGCCGACUGCAAGCCGGCAGCCUGCUGCCAUCGACAACACCUGCCUCGUCUACACGAAAACCAAUGUGAGCUCCUCACCUGCGUAUAUUUUGCACCACGCAAACCGGAUAACCCCGAGCGACACUCGGAGCCCACCUCCGCCUUUAUUACAGUUGCACUACAGUUUGCCCCGGCGCCGGCUAGUCUUGGCCCGGAGGCUGGCCACUCGGCACGAUACGUUCGUUCCCGCAGACGGCUAGUAGCGCACAUGGUAUCGAAGGCCUACUCUCAGCCACAGACCACAACGCGGUUGUCCAGCAAGCGGGAGCAAAAGCUGGAGGUCACCCCGCACGAAAAACGUCCGGGAGAAGACGGCUUGGGCAACCCGGUCGUUUCCUUUAUGAGUAUCUACUCGGUCGAAUCUGCUCCUGUAGUCCGAGUACUGUACGCUCCACUCCACGACCACUCUUCGUAA